rnacentral:rRNA from 1 species
AACGCGAAGAACCUUACCAAGGUUUGACAUGGACCGAAAACUCAUGGAGACAUGGGGUCCUUCGGGGCGGUUCACAGGUGGUGCAUGGCUGUCGUCAGCUCGUGUCGUGAGAUGUUGGGUUAAGUCCCGCAACGAGCGCAACCCUCGUCCCAUGUUGCCAGCGGGUUAUGCCGGGGACUCAUGGGAGACUGCCGGGGUCAACUCGGAGGAAGGUGGGGAUGACGUCAAGUCAUCAUGCCCCUUAUGUCUUGGGCUGCAAACAUGCUACAAUGGCCAGUACAAAGGGCUGCGAGCCCGUGAGGGUGAGCGAAUCCCGGAAAGCCGGUCUCAGUUCGGAUCGGGGUCUGCAACCCGGCCCCGUGAAGCCGGAGUCGCUAGUAAUCGCGGAUCAGCAACGCCGCGGUGAAUACGUUCCCGGGCCUUGUA